rnacentral:lncRNA from 1 species
GGCUGUCCAUCCAAUCAGAAAUCUGCUAGACUUAAAGCGAAGGCUGAGUGUGGGUCGCCGUUGCUUUGGAUAUCUACAUCCAGCAAUACCAGGUCAGUUUAAUGGCUAUAUGAGUUGAUUUGAUGUUUUCCUUGGAAAGCAGCUGGACUCAUGGCUUGCUGCUUUAACAAGAAAACUAUUAAGGUUUUGAUCUUAAGAAGUUUUUGUCAUGCUUCGAACUCAAAGCGUAACAGGCACCGCAUACCUGCAUGGCAGACUAUACAAGCAUGCAAGGCUACAAAUCAUAUCAAAGCAAUAAUGAUUCUUGAAAAAUAAUUUAAUCAAGAUCUUAUAUAUAUAGUUUUUACAACAAUCAUUCCAAAGUGACAUAAGUCAACAUAUGCUUAACUAUUUACUCAAAUAAAAUAAAAUAUUCUAACUAGUCUAAAUAGUCUAACUAGAACUGAGAAUAUCUUCAGAAGAUCUAGCGCACUCUCUCAAGUCUCAAGCAAUCAUGAAUUUGGAUAUGAAAAAUAGAGAAAGAAGAAACAAUGAGCUACACUAGCCCAGUAAGCAACAUAACACCCCAAAGUGGGGUCUAAGCAAAUCAAAUAAUUAGUUAAAGAGCAAAAUAUC